rnacentral:tRNA from 2 species
AGCUCUUUAGUUAGGUAACACAAGGAAAAAGCCUUGUUUGUAGGUUCAAUUCCUGCAGGGGCUA